AGCAAGUUUACUACCCACUGAAAUGUUCCCUUGGUACUUGAUGGAAUUAUGUAAUGAAACUGUCAACCAUUACAAUGUGAUAAAGAUAUUCCUGAUGGCGAUGAGUGAUGACUAACUUUCAAAACUACAAGAUGAACCCCUUCCACUUCUAGAAUGUGAAGAAUGCUGCCAUAUUACUGGCCCAUAUGAUCAUCAUGACAACUGUCUACCGUUGUCUACCCCGAUACAAGGAAAAUUACAAAUGUGUUGCUAAGCUUAAUAUUAGAUGACUAGAAGCAGUUAGUAGAAUAAAAAAAUGGUUCCUGAGUUUUACAAUGGCCGACUAACUUUGAUGACUGAUGAAGAUGACUAUGCCAGCAAAAGACAGACAACAGAUGUACUUCGAAUAGCAAUAUGACUAAAGCACUACCUUACAUUAUUAAGA